rfam:Hordeum vulgare subsp. vulgare, WGS project CAJW01000000 data, contig: morex_contig_53391
UGAGUACUCCCUCCGUUUCAAAAUUCUUGUUUUAAAUUUAUCUAAAAAUGGAUGUAUCUAAAUAUUAAAACGUGACUAGAACAUUUAUAUCUAGAUAAAUUUAAGACAAGAAUUUUGAAAUGGAGGGAGUACUUU